UUGCCAUUCGGGCGCGGCGUCAUCGCCGCAGGUGAGAUAGUGUGGGUGCCGCCCGAUGCGGACAGCGAGACGAUGCAGACGCUACGCGCACAACUUGAAGAACGGUUGAACGAGGUCACGAGCCGCGCUUACCGUCUCGUCGGCCGGGACGAGGGCCUUCAUGCCUAGCGCGCUCCCAGCGACGCUUGCGGCGUAUCGGCGGCUGUCGGCCCUUGCCGCGCCGCUUGCAGCUCCGCUGAUCGCGCGGCGGCUGAAGCAGGGCAAGGAAG
rnacentral:misc_RNA from 1 species